rnacentral:rRNA from 1 species
UACGUAGGGUGCAAGCGUUAAUCGGAAUUACUGGGCGUAAAGCGUGCGCAGGCGGCUUUGCAAGACAGAUGUGAAAUCCCCGGGCUUAACCUGGGAACUGCAUUUGUGACUGCAUGGCUGGAGUGCGGCAGAGGGGGAUGGAAUUCCAGGUGUAGCGGUGAAAUGCGUAGAUAUCUGGAGGAACACCGGUGGCGAAGGCGGCAUCCUGGACCGGUAUUGACGCUGAGGCGCGAAAGCUAGGGGAGCAAACGGG